UUGGGGAUAUUAACGAUGACCGUCUUUCCGGUUCUUUCUGGUUCUCUUUGACUGUUUGUGGAAGCCAGAGCUCUACCAAGCUUUUCUCUCAUUGGUGGUUGCACAUCUUGGACUUGGUUCUUCACGUCUCAUCCAGAUUUAGGUUUGCAUGCAGAUUUCUCUGCCUCAGGUGAUCUCCUCCUUACCCUAGAAGAAAUAAAAUAUUUCCUCUCCUCUGUCAUUCAGUGAGUUUGCUAUGGCCACUUGUGGCUCCUUGUUGGAGGAGAUUUUGUUUAGCCGGUCCUCAGCUGCUUUGGGUGGAGUUUCUUCUGAUAGAUGGCGCAGUGCAGCUUGGAGCAAUCUCGGAUCUGGCUUAUGUCUCAGGUCAAGUUUGUCGGUUGUAGAGAUCUGAUUCUUUUUUAUGUGGGUUUUAUUUUUGGACCCUGAGCCCUUUAGUAUUUUGGGCUCAUUUGUAGCUUGAGCCUUUAAUUAUGUAGGCCUCUAAUCUGUUAUUUGAUCUAAUGGAUUUUACCUUGGAAAAAAUUAUAUAUAAAAAAAAAGGCACAUGGCUUGUCGGUAGACUUCAAUUAUUGGCUGCGUGGCGAUUGAGGAUAAAUGCAAACAAUGAGAGAACCAGCACUGAGCAAUUGGCACAACUGAAUUAAUUAUUUACAAUUAUUGAACGGAGUUCUCUUGUUAAUUUCAUAUUCUAUCUUCUAGAUUUAAUAAUUGUGGAUGCCAUAUGUUUGCUCCUUCUCUGGCUAAAAUUGCUAUUAAUCACGAUAAUUUUAGAAAAUCAUCAUAUUCUAUUUAAUUAUCUAUAGCUAGAUUUUCCACAUUGAAGAUCAUAUCAUUUCUUAAAAAAAAACCAAUAAAUUUAAUUUAAUUUGCAAAAUUAUUCCAUAUAUUUAUUACUAGUUAAUUUUCAAAUAAUAAUCUAACAUAAAUUUUUAUUUAGACAAAGUUCAAGAUUAGUUUAUUUACCUCAAAGCUGGAAAUUUCAGCCAUGAAGUACCAAUUUAAAAGAAGAAGAAGAGGAGGAGAAAUAUUUGAACACACUGGAGUGGAAGAGAGAGAGAGAAAGAGUUGAAGCUAGCAGCAGCUGGACAUGGCUAUGACAGUACAGUAAGCUAACUAGCGUUCGCAGUUGCGGUCGUAAAUGCGAGCAUUGCAAAGAUUUUGUGGUGGAAGGCAGUAGUGUACGGAAUCUCGACAUUUAGUAAGAGGUGGCGGAGGAUUUCCAGGGUUACCAAUAGCUGGGGUAGAACCCACAAGCAUUCUACUAAACUCAGAGUCCAUCACGAACUCAGACUCAACAUUAGUUUCCCCUAUGGACAAGUGGUUGCCACCCAUGAUCUUUGAAACACCAGCUCUGCAAUGGCUUGUGCUCAGCAGAAUCAGUACCACCACUGCUACGACUGAUUCAGAGAAAAACCUCAUUGAUCUGCCUCUUCUCAACCCCAUCUUCCACCUUUUCUGCUGCUGUGUAGAUUCAUAUAAAUAAUGGGAGCUUUUUUCUGAGUGGUGGUAAU
rnacentral:lncRNA from 1 species